rnacentral:rRNA from 1 species
GGCUGCAACUCGCCUACACGAAGUCGGAAUCGCUAGUAAUCGCGGAUCAGCAUGCCGCGGUGAAUACGUUCCCGGGCCUUGUACACACCGCCCGUCACACCAUGAGAGCCGGGGGGACCCGAAGUCCGUAGCUUAACCGCAAGGAGAGCGCGGCCGAAGGUAAAACUGGUGAUUGGGGUGAAGUCGUAACAAGGUAUC